rnacentral:tRNA from 1 species
ACCUGGGUGGCUCAGUCGGUUGAGCGCCUGACUUCGGCUCGGGUCAUGAUCUCGCGGUCUGUGAGUUCAAGCCUCAUGUCGGGCU